UACAGAGGUCUCAAGCGUUGUUCGGAUUCAUUGGGCGUAAAGGGUGCGUAGGUGGCGGGGUAAGUCAGGUGUGAAAUUUCGGAGCUCAACUCCGAAACUGCAUUUGAUACUGCCUUUGCUUGAGGACUGGAGAGGAGACUGGAAUUCACGGUGUAGCAGUGAAAUGCGUAGAGAUCGUGAGGAAGACCAGUGGCGAAGGCGGGUCUCUGGACAGUUCCUGACACUGAGGCACGAAGGCCAGGGGAGCAAAACGGG
rnacentral:rRNA from 1 species